rnacentral:rRNA from 1 species
GAAUAUUGGUCAAUGGGCGAAAGCCUGAACCAGCCAUGCCGCGUGCAGGAUGACGGCCUUCUGGGUUGUAAACUGCUUUUCUACAGGAAGAAAAAACCCUUGCGAGGGUAAUUGACGGUAUUGUAGGAAUAAGCACCGGCUAACUCCGUGCCAGCAGCCGCGGUAAUACGGAGGGUGCAAGCGUUGUCCGGAUUUAUUGGGUUUAAAGGGUACGUAGGUGGGUCUUUAAGUCCGUGGUGAAAGCCCGCAGCUUAACUGUGGAAUUGCCAUGGAUACUGGAGACCUUGAAUUCAGUUGAGGUUGGCGGAAUUUAUGGUGUAGCGGUGAAAUGCAUAGAUACCAUAAAGAACACCUAUUGCGAAGGCAGCUAACUGGACUUGAAUUGACACUGAGGUACGAAAGCGUGGGGAGCGAACAGG